rnacentral:rRNA from 1 species
AGUGGACGCUGGCGGUAGGCCUAACACAUGCAAGUCGAACAGCAGCACAGUAAGAGCUUGCUCUUACGGGUGGCGAGUGGCGGACGGGUGAGGAAUACAUCGGAAUCUACUUUUUCGUGGGGGAUAACGUAGGGAAACUUACGCUAAUACCGCAUACGACCUACGGGUGAAAGCAGGGGAUCUUCGGACCUUGCGCGAUUGAAUGAGCCGAUGUCGGAUUAGCUAGUUGGCGGGGUAAAGGCCCACCAAGGCGACGAUCCGUAGCUGGUCUGAGAGGAUGAUCAGCCACACUGGAACUGAGACACGGUCCAGACUCCUACGGGAGGCAGCAGUGGGGAAUAUUGGACAAUGGGCGCAAGCCUGAUCCAGCCAUACCGCGUGGGUGAAGAAGGCCUUCGGGUUGUAAAGCCCUUUUGUUGGGAAAGAAAAGCAGCAGGUUAAUACCCCGCUGUUCUGACGGUACCCAAAGAAUAAGCACCGGCUAACUUCGUG